GACAUCACUAAUGUAACCUGCUGAGAACGUUUUGCAGUGCCAGGGCCCUGAGACCAAACAAUCACCUCUCUACAGUCACACCAAAGCCCAGAUGUUACCAGAAGGGACAAGAUGAUCAAGAAAAGAAGUAUUACAGACCUAGGGCAAAAUGCUGAAAUGCAGACCCAAUUGCUUCAGAGGCAAAGCUGAGGCAUUCACCCUUGACUGGUGUCCAUGAUCUGUGGUGCUUCUGGUUUGCUGUGGAAGAAACAAGGCACUAGGCUGCUUUUGUCCAGGAAGACCUCUUCUGGUUGGAGGGGACCUCACUCCUGCAGUCGGCUGAGAAUGUCGUAUGGUACCAGGCCCCUGGAGCCGAAUGACCACCUGACUCCAACCACACCAAAGCCAGAUGGGACUGAAAUUGCCAGAAGGGACAAGAUGAUCAAGAAAAGAAUCAGCCUGACUCCAGCCCUUGAGACCCCUAUUUUGAAUUUUCACCCUUUAAAAGCCUCCUGUUUGUAAGCCAGGGGGUGGAGUUUGGGACUUUGAGCUUUAACUUCCCAUCCUCCUGGGUGGUGCCGCACCAAUAAAAAGCCUAUCUUCACUGUAAA